UGGUGCACACCUGUAAUCUCAGCUACUCAGGAGGCUGAGGCAGGAGAAUCGCUUGAACCUGGGAGGUGGAGGUUGCAGUGAGCCGAGAUUGUGCCACCGCACUCCAGCCUGGGCGAGAGAGCAAGACUCUGUCUCAAAAAAAAAAAAAAAAAAAAAGAAAAAAAAAAACAAAAGACAAAAAAAAAAUAAGCGUAACUUCCCUCAAAGCAACAACCCCCCCCCCCCUUUUCAUAUUCUUGCCUGGAAGAAAGGCCUUGCUUUCCUCAGCUUCUUAAAGCUGGGAGAAGUUAAAGCCAUUCUGAAAUGCUGCUGCUACUGCUAUAUGUGGGGGAGAAAGCAAAUUUUCUUUUUACUUUUUUAAUCAGUAUUUAUUUUAAGUUCGAGGGUACAUGUGCAGGAUGUGCAGGUUUGUUACAUAGGUAAACGUGUGCCAUGGUGGUUUGCUGCACAGGUCAACCCAUCACCUAGGUAUUAAACCCAGCAUCCAUUAGCUAUUCUUCCUGAUGCUGUCCCUCCUCCCACCCCACCAACAGGACCCCAAAUUUUCUUUCUUUUUUUUUUUUUUUUUUUUUUGAGAUGGAGUCUAGCUCUGUCACCCAGUCUGGAAUGUAAUAGCUCAAUCUCGGCUCACUGUAACCUCCAUCUCCCAGGUUCAAGUGAUUCUCCUGCCUCAGCCUUCCAAGUAACUGGGAUUACAGGCAUGCACUACCAUGCCUGGCUAAUUUUUGUAUUUUUAGUAGAGACGGGGUUUCACCAUCUUGGCCAGGCUGGUCUUGAACUCCUCACCUCGUG
rnacentral:lncRNA from 1 species